GUGGUCAGAAAAUUCUUUUGUUUUGUUAAGUCAGUAUCUUAAGUUCUCUACCCCCUCCAAUUUUUUUUAAAAUAAAUAUUUUCAAUGGCAUAACUCUAUACUAUAAACUUCUUUUAUGCUAUGCAUACAGUUAGUUUGUCUACAAGUAAGAACGUCAUACAAAUACCUAUUCAAUUCUUUAUAUCUUAUCUUACAUUAUACAGACGUUACUUCAAAAAAAGAAGAUGAUUAC